UACGUAGGGUGCGAGCGUUUAAUCGGAAUUACUGGGCGUAAAGCGUGCGCAGGCGGUUUCACAAGCUCGAUGUGAAAGCCCCGGGCUUAACCUGGGAAUGGCAUUGAGGACUGUGGAGCUCGAGUGCGGCAGAGGGAGGUGGAAUUCCACGUGUAGCAGUGAAAUGCGUAGAGAUGUGGAGGAACACCGAUGGCGAAGGCAGCCUCCUGGGCCGACACUGACGCUCAUGCACGAAAGCGUGGGGAGCAAACAGGA
rnacentral:rRNA from 1 species